rnacentral:lncRNA from 1 species
GGCAUUAAAGUAAUACCCGAAGUAAAAAGCGUCCAUAUAACGUGGAAUAAAGUAAGUGUUUUUUUUAUUGUAAUUAUUAAUUGUUAAUUUACCGUUUUAAAACUGUAAAUAUACUGUAAAACAUCAUUGUUACGUAUUAGGUAUACUUAAAUAAACAUUUUUAAUUUCCAGAUAAUUACUAAACGACUUGAAUGCGAAGUUCGUGAAUAUGUUUUGACGUUAACGUUAAAUCAAUCGAAAAAUGGAAUCUCUGAUAUUCAAGAAAUAUUAUCAAGUUCAGACAGUGGACACGUAAUAAACGAUCUCUAUCCUGGAUAUCGAUACACCGUUUCAAUGACUCCUAAAACUUCUUUAGGUUCCUUACAGCCAUCAUCUACUUAUUCAUUUAGUCCAUUUAUGCCGGGUAAAUAUUAGUUUUAAUUAAAUUAACUUAUAUGUCAAUAUAAACGUUUUUUUUCUUUAUUUUUUAAUUAAUUUUAAAUUUAUAGAGUCAGAAAUGAAAAUAAUUGAUAUUGUCACUAGCAUCAACAAUGAUAAAAUAAAAGUAUCGUGGAAAUUAGGAUCUUCAGUUUAUCCAUUCAAUACGUUGGUUAAAAACCCAGUAACAUGCGUUGUCAGUUACAAAGUAAUUUUAUUAAAUUUAAAUAAUAUUAGUUACCUACCUACUUUUACUUAUCUAACUCGUUCAACAAUAAUUAGUAAAUAUUUCGAAUGAAAACUAUGUUCGAUUAAUUUACAAUUAUUAUAUAUUAUGAAUUCAAACAUUUAAACCCCUUUUGAAGUUAUGACCAUGUGGUGCUUAUACUUACGAGUAAAUGUAUUUUAUUAUGUCAAAUACUUCUUCAUUCCAAUAUGAAAUACUUAUGCAAGUUAUUUAAAUAAAAUAAUUACAAUGUCGUUCGGUUAAUUAUAAAUAAUUUAUUAUACUAAUUUAGUAGAUAUGAAUUUAUCCAAAUAUAGGGUGAUAAUAUUUAUAUUACAGAUUAUUUAGCUAAACUUAAAACAACCUAAAUAUUUUAACAAAAGAAUACACGUUGAUAAUCGACUUUAAUACGACUUUUGGUCACAUAUAUUCUAUAAAUUAAAUCCACGCUUAUACAAUAUUUUAGCUCAAUAGAAUAUUCAGUUGUUCUCUAAAUGAAAUAAAGAACGAUAAUUGGACAUCAAUACAAAUUUACAACCAAACAAGUUAUGACAUAUUCGGUGCUGUACCUCAUUCACAAUACUAUAUUAAAGUCGGAGUUCUCAAUUCAGUUCAAAAAGAAAAUACGGUGUAUGUUUAUACACCACCGUCAAGUAAAAUAAUAUAUUAUCAAACUCUCCUACAGUCACACAUUGUUAUUUACUAUAUAAUAUAAAUAUUUGCCCUUUAGAUCCACAAAUAAAACCUGAAAUCGAUAUAAACUCUCCAAUAUCAGUGACGAAUAGCUCGGUAAACGUUAAGUGGAAUGCCGAUUCUAUAGAUUGUACAAAGCUGAACGGAUUCUUAUUGGGAUAUUAUAUAGAAUUAAAGGUUUUUUUAUAAAUAAAAGUACACACAAUUAUUUCUUUACUAUAUAAUAUCCAAAUCAUUUUUUUUUUUUUUUUAAGGAUACGAGUAGUAAUAUUUUAAAAACAAAAGAGACGAAACAAAAUAUUAUUUCUUUCGAUAAUCUCAAUUCGAAUACUACCUACGAAAUGAAAGUUUUUAUAAAAACACAUGUCGGUUAUAACCCUGAGCAAUUUUUACGUGUCAAUUUUACUACUAAACUUAUGAGUAGGUUAACCAAAAUAUAUUGUAUAUUUGUAUGAAACUAUAAAAAUAUUAUUUCUAUAUGGUCUAUAUGAUAAUUAUAGAUUUGAAGCCAGUUGAUGAUUUAAUGGUUUAUAAAAAGAGUGCGAAAAGUGGGGUAGUAGGAUUUCGUUGGAGCUUUUUGUCAGAAAAUACAAAUUUGAAUGGAUUCAUAGUUUCAUUUAAUGAAAACUUAACAAAUACAUCUUUCAUUCUACCAAUUAAAUGUCCUGCUUGGCCAGAAUACUACUGUCAUACAUUCUAUAAUUUAAAUUUUAAUAAGGACUAUGAUAAAACUUAUACAUUCAAAGUACGUGCAUAAUAAAUUUCCACGAGUAUUCAAUUAUUUGGAUCGUACGAAAUACAUUGUUUAUUAAAAGAUUUUUAAAAUAUUAUAGAUAACUCCUAAGUCAUAUGAUUAUCCAAAUGGUGGUGUUGUUUCAUCGAUUUCUUUCAACGUUGAAGACGGACGUAAGUUAAAUGAUAUUUACACUAUGAGUUCUGGCUAUUAAAUAACGAUUUAUGAAAAAUGGUUUUAUUUUAAAAAUUAUUCCACAACCAAAUGUUCCCCUUCAAUAUACUCUCCUCCCUUCCUCACACACCGUUUCAUUCGUUUCUUCCAUAGCUCGAGGCAGUGCUGGAAGUCUGUUUUCGUAAGACUCAUCGACUCCAUCGACUCAAACCGGAUUCCUUUUAAGGUAGACUUUAUCUUCGGAAACAAGUAAAAGUCGCAGGGUGCCAAGUCGGGUGAGUAAGACUCGUGUUCGAGUACUGGAGUGCCUUAAGCGGCCAAAUAACGCUUCACAGACAGCGCGUUAUGGGCAUCGUUAUGGGUUAUCGACCGUUUCUUACGAACUCAUUCGCGCAAUGUUGCCAAAACUGUCAAAUAGUAAUGUUGGUUCACAGUUUGACCCUCUGGAACCCAUUCAGUCAUCACAAUACCGUUGAUAUCGAAGAAAACGGUUUUGAAUUUGGAUUACGACUGAAUUGGAUUCCGGUGCACUCUCNUAUAGGCCUCUUUUAACAACUUAUAGCACUCAGUUGGAGUUUUUUUUUUAGUUUAACGAGAAAAUUUUACGUUUAUCCGUUGAUCAUGUUUUUCGUCACACAUCGUUUUCGGCAAGAGAAAAAAACAUGUUCGUUUCUAAACGCUACAGAAAAAAUACUAAUGCACCAACAAAAACCCAAUUUUGUACUGACAUAAUAGACACUUCCAGCUAACCAGCGCUGUAUUCGGUUUUCCCCUAACCUUUUGGGACACUCUCUACGUAUGUCCUCGAUGAUUUGGAAUUCAAGGAAUCAAGCUGGAAAAAGAAAUAAGAAAUAUAAAAUAUUCCAAUUUUCAAUCUGUGAAGAUGUGAGAGAAAAAAAAUUCAAUCCAAAGGAAUUUGAACAUUAUUGUAUUGAAAAAAUGUAAAAAUUAUUCACUAAGCGCGCUUACCUCAUUUUUUAGUUAUUUUUAUAUUCGAAUUCUAUUUUUGGAAUGUUUAAGUGUAUUGAAAGCCGAUUUUUUCGAUAUACUUAUACAUAUUUUUAUCAUUUAAAGAAUAUUUUAUGUUGAUUGGCGAUAAAAACUUUGAUUUUUCAAGUGAGAAUUUCUAUUAAAAAUUCUAUAAAUAGAUGGAUUAGUUUUAUUUUAAAUACAUUUUGGUGCCAACAUUUUUGAUUUCCAUCAAUUCGUUCACUUAAUAUUUUAUUUUUAUUUCAGGUAGGGGAAGAGUAGUGGCUUAUAAUUUAUGUUGUGGCAGGGUGCGCAGCGUUUUAUUAGUGCUCCACUAUUAUUCUUCUACAUAAUCUAAAAAGUUGAAUAUCUCGUCAACGGGUUGACGGAACCCAAUUAAAAAUUUCAACACUGAAAUUUAUUGCAACUAUUACUUUAUCAAUUUAUGCAAUUUUUAAUUUAGGUUCCAAUUUUAACUUUUAAUGUUAACCCCCAAAAACUCCCCAAAUAAUACAUGAAAAUGAUAAAAUCAACGUCCUAGGAUAUGGGGACGAGUGCAUCCAGUGUUUUAGGCAUAGGCGUACGCUGUGGUAAUGCCAGGUAUGCCAUGACAUCCCUUACGGUCUGCAAACCAAUUUUUUUGUUCUUUAAUAUUUUAUAAACUUUUUUAUAAAUUGUUAUCCGUUAAGAAAUGUCAACACUUAAUCUUUCGUUUUUUUUUUAAAAAAUUGUCAUCAGGUCUAAUAUCCUAAAUUGUGAUUUUCAUAAAAUAUAAUUAAGUAAUAAUGGGGGUUUAGGAUUUAGAUAUGACAUCGACGCAUUACCUGACAGAGUUACAGAUUACCAAUAAUCAUAGAGCAGUCUGUUUAUUCCCAAAAAAAACAAAAAAAAAAUAUUUUAAGAUCUUUAUCAAUACAAUUUUGUAUUAUAUAUGUUUUUCUAUUUUGAAUAUUUACAUGAUAAAACGAUUUACAAGGAUAGCACUUUUUUUAAAGGUAAUCUAACUCGGGAGGUACUUUAGGGCGAUAUGAUUUUCAAUUUUCUUUAAUUUAAUGUUAUUAAUUAAUUAUUUAGAUACACUUGAAUACAUGCGAGGCAUAUUGUUUUUUAGAUAGGUAUAUUGGUUCAAUUAAACAUACUUUUUAUAGAAAACUAUGUUAUAAAAAAGUACCUUCUAGGAAUUCUCAAAAAUUAAAAUAACGAUCUAAAAUAUCAACAAAAGCCCAUUUCUCUUAAAUAUUGAUUUUACCAAUCCUUGGUAGAAACUUAUAGACAGAAAAAAAUACAUAUUUUAAGAAAAUGUUUACGUUCCGUGGUCAACUUGUAAUCUAAAAUGUGAAUAUGCCUAAUUCUGAGUGAAGUAAACAUUCAGAACCUAAAUUUUCUUGUCUGAGUCUCAUAUAGCUCUCUUUUGAUAAAUCAAAGUUGGUAUCACUACAGGAUACUCCUUAAAUGUUUUAAAAAAUCCUUGUAGGUAUAUCGAAAUAAUCAGCUUUAACUACACUUAAAAAUUCCAAAAAUCAGAAUUUGUUUAACCUAACCUAACUCAUACAAAAAAUGGAACGAGUUCGCUUAGUGAAUCUAUAUCACAAAGUGAAUAAUAUGUAUUGAACUUAUAGACUAUGAGUAUUGAGUUUAAUAUCUACCCAAAGAAUAAAAAUGUAUAAUGUUGAUAUCUUCGAAUCAUUGCAGUGACAUAAUGCAUUAGAGUUAUAGUUAUAGUUGUUUUUUUUUUAAUUCCAUUUAUAAAAUUAUUUGAAUUUUUUUCCCAACAAAUAUACAUAAUUAUAAAAAUUCAGCUUUAUUGUAAAUAUUGUGGUAUUUAGUAUUCUUCUCGUUCACAGAGCCUGGUUCUCCGGUUAAUUUUAAAGCUCAAUACAUUGACAGUACAACUAUUACUCUGCAGUGGGGUAUUCCAUGGAUAUUCAAUAGUAUUUUAGAUACAUUCAUUAUCAACGGAGAAGCCAUUUCAUCUGUGGAUAAUGAAAACAUGAACGAUAAUAUUAAUCCAAUAAUUAUUAUAGAAAUUCCAAUCGACGAAGAAUUACCUACUUAUAACUAUACGGUAAUGGAUAAAUACAUACAUUAAAAAACGGAUAU